UGCAGUCGUACGCUUCUUUUUCCACCGGAGCUUGCUCCACCGGAAAAGAAGAGUGGCGAACGGGUGAGUAACACGUGGGUAACCUGCCCAUCAGAAGGGGAUAACACUUGGAAACAGGUGCUAAUACCGUAUAACAAUCGAAACCGCAUGGUUUUGAUUUGAAAGGCGCUUUCGGGUGUCGCUGAUGGAUGGACCCGCGGUGCAUUAGCUAGUUGGUGAGGUAACGGCUCACCAAGGCCACGAUGCAUAGCCGACCUGAGAGGGUGAUCGGCCACAUUGGGACUGAGACACGGCCCAAACUCCUACGGGAGGCAGCAGUAGGGAAUCUUCGGCAAUGGACGAAAGUCUGACCGAGCAACGCCGCGUGAGUGAAGAAGGUUUUCGGAUCGUAAAACUCUGUUGUUAGAGAAGAACAAGGAUGAGAGUAACUGUUCAUCCCUUGACGGUAUCUAACCAGAAAGCCACGGCUAACUACGUGCCAGCAGCCGCGGUAAUACGUAGGUGGCAAGCGUUGUCCGGAUUUAUUGGGCGUAAAGCGAGCGCAGGCGGUUUCUUAAGUCUGAUGUGAAAGCCCCCGGCUCAACCGGGGAGGGUCAUUGGAAACUGGGAGACUUGAGUGCAGAAGAGGAGAGUGGAAUUCCAUGUGUAGCGGUGAAAUGCGUAGAUAUAUGGAGGAACACCAGUGGCGAAGGCGGCUCUCUGGUCUGUAACUGACGCUGAGGCUCGAAAGCGUGGGGAGCAAACAGGAUUAGAUACCCUGGUAGUCCACGCCGUAACGAUGAGUGCUAAGUGUUGGAGGGUUUCCGCCCUUCAGUGCUGCAC
rnacentral:rRNA from 1 species